UCGAGCGAAGCGCUUAACGGAAUUCUCCGGAAGGAAUAUAAAGUGACUGAGCGGCGGACGGGUGAGUAACGCGUGGGUAACCUGCCUCAUACAGGGGGAUAACAGUUAGAAAUGGCUGCUAAUACCGCAUAAGCGCACAGGACCGCAUGGUCUGGUGUGAAAAACUCCGGUGGUAUGAGAUGGACCCGCGUUGGAUUAGCUAGUUGGUGGGGUAACGGCCUACCAAGGCGACGAUCCAUAGCCGGCCUGAGAGGGUGAACGGCCACAUUGGGACUGAGACACGGCCCAGACUCCUACGGGAGGCAGCAGUGGGGAAUAUUGCACAAUGGGGGAAACCCUGAUGCAGCGACGCCGCGUGAAGGAAGAAGUAUCUCGGUAUGUAAACUUCUAUCAGCAGGGAAGAUAAUGACGGUACCUGACUAAGAAGCCCCGGCUAACUACGUGCCAGCAGCCGCGGUAAUACGUAGGGGGCAAGCGUUAUCCGGAUUUACUGGGUGUAAAGGGAGCGUAGACGGCGCAGCAAGUCUGAUGUGAAAGGCAGGGGCUUAACCCCUGGACUGCAUUGGAAACUGCUGUGCUUGAGUGCCGGAGGGGUAAGCGGAAUUCCUAGUGUAGCGGUGAAAUGCGUAGAUAUUAGGAGGAACACCAGUGGCG
rnacentral:rRNA from 1 species